rnacentral:rRNA from 1 species
GACGUAGGGGACAAGCGUUAUUCGGAAUUAUUGGGCGUAAAGCGCUCGUAGGCGGGACGGGAAGUCCGUGAAGAAAGACCUGGGCUCAACUCAGGGACCGGCACGGAUACUCUCGUUCUUGAGGCAAUCAGAGGGUGAUGGAAUUCCCGGUGUAGCGGUGAAAUGCGCAGAUAUCGGGAGGAACACCGGUGGCGAAGGCGGUUCUCUGGGCCGAUACUGACGCUGAGGAGCGAAAGCGUGGGGAGCGAACAGG